rnacentral:lncRNA from 10 species
UUCCAUUCAGCCCAGGGAGCUUCAUCACACCUUGCUGCCUUCCCUGAAUCAGGCCCACUGUUCUCUCAUUACUGAUCUCAAAAAGUUGAGCGAGCCAGCCAGUCCCAGCCUAUCCCCAGCAUCACCCGCAGUGGACCCGAAGCCUAAGGUGAAAGUACACAUUUUGCUGGUGAGGUAAGUUCAACCAUGUCCCAAACAAACCAGAGAAAAAGCAAAGGCAAACCAAGAGCCCAGCAAGCAUGGACUUCGGAGCAACCAGAGAGAGCCCCGUGCAGAGCCCAGGAGGGUGAGUGUGGGAAGAAGAAGGGCGGGUGCUUCUCGGCCUAGCACACCUGGGUCUCAGCUGCACCAGCUCUGGCCAUCUGUGGGACCGUUUGCAUGUGACCCACCUGCCCAGGCCUCAUUUUCCUCAUUUGUAGGAUGGACAAUGUCACCUGACACUGUUGGGAGAAGUGGCCCACGCAUACCUGGCCCAGAGCAGAGAGAUUGCUGAGGUCCACUUUACGGCUCAUUGAUGCCAAUGGGCAGAUAAGAUAACCCUGGGGAACAUUAGCCCUAGUGCUCCUUGGAGCCCAAUCCUAGGAGUCAGGAGAAGCAGGUGGGAACAUCAGCCCUGGCGCUCCUUGGUGCCCAAUCCUAGGAGUCAGAAGAAGCAGGUGGGACCUGCUCCCUCCACCUCAGCUGGCCUCCCUCCCCACCCGGCACUAGAGCAGGGGCGAGCCAUUGGGUAUCCUCCCUUGCGCUCCCCAACCAUCUCCUGGGGUGAGCUCAGGGAGCCUGCAGCUACUGGGACAGGGGCCCACUGGCACCUUGCUGGCCCCUACUGCCAGGCAGGGUACCAUCAGCCAGCUCGCUCCUCCCAGGGAACUGCCUCUUCUCCAGCAGCCUGGAGUCCCCCACUUCCCAGCCCCAUCGUCCUCAUCCCAAGCCUGAUCCCAUUGUGUCCUGUGACUCCUUGUCCCUUGUUGGGCACCUGCAUCUGUCCUCCCUCCUCAGCCUCCCAUGCCCUCUGCAUCCUGCACUCCUGCUGAACGAAUGACCCAGGCCUCCACUUCCCAUCAGAACAUCCUCUGCAACACGUCCCUUACCGGCAGGCGUCACUCCCUGAGCUCACCAUUUCCCUGCAGCCAUGCUACGUGGCUGCUGCUUAAUGUCUCAGAGGCCCCUUCUCUGAGACAGGGUUGAGACCUGGGGUUUGCACCCCCUCUGCCUUGACGCAUCCAGCCCAGUAUUCCUCCCACUUGCUCAUGGCCAGAUGAGGAAGGGAAGUGGCACCACUGGGCAUUUGAUUGAAAGCAGCAAAGACUCCAUGACUCCCUUCCCACACUGCUGCCAUUGGCUUGGUGGACUUUGACUGCAACCCUGCCAACAACCCCCGUUCUCCUGGCUUCCCUGAGCCUCUCACCUCUGAUGACCUUCCCCACCUCAUCUUUCACUCUCAACAGAUGACCUCAACUCCUACUUUACAGAGAAGACAGAAACUAGGAGCUGGGACCUCCUUCACCUUCCUACUGCAAACCCACAGACCCCCCUGCAUCUCCCCUCUGCUGCUUCCCCUUCCUUCCUUGUCACAGUGGAGGAGGCAUCUGUGCUCUGGGAUUGGCCUUCCCACCAGCCCUCCACCUUCCUGAGCUCACGCACCCAGUCUCCUCUCUCCUGUGUCUCCAGCCUUUCUCACUGCACUCUUUGCUCCAUUGCUUUCAUCAGCCUAUUCUGCUCAAAUUUCUCUGAUCUUGAAACAAAGUUGGCCGUGGACCCAGUUCCUGCUCCAGCCCCAGCUAUAUUUCCUGUGUCUUCCCUUCCAACCUCUCCUGCCACAGCCAAGGCCUCUCCCCUCCAUGAACUCUCCUCUCAUAGUCCCCCAAAUUCACCAAGUUUUCCAGCUCACGCCUUUCACAUUUGCUCUUCCCUCUGCCUGAAAUGCCCUCCCUGCUCCUCCUGUAGCUAGUGCCCUCCUUGACCUGUUCUCCCAUGAAUGCCUCCACCUCCUCCCAGCCCAGGCCAGGGUUCCCUGUGUCUCUCAUCAAAACAGCAUGGAGCCUGAAUGUUCUGCUCUGCUGGACCCAAGUCCCCCAGCCUCCCAGGCCUCAUCUGUCCCUUUAAUAUCCCAAGUGGCUCAAGCCUAGCCCAUCCCAUAGGAAGCUGUGGAGGGUCACCUGACUGUAGGGUAUUGCCGGAGGCCCUCGCAUGUCCUAAGCCCUCCAGGCUGCUCUCUGCUGUGGUCUCACUGCUGGGCAUCACCUGAGAUUCAGACACCUUCUCCCACCAGCCUGCCUCCAGCCCCCUGAAGCAACAGGAGGCUCAGAGCUGUUGAAGACAGAUGAGAAACUCUUCAAAUUGGACAACAGAUCCCAGCAUUCCAAAAUGCCUUCCUUCCUCACUAAAGGAAAUUCCUCAUGCCCACGUCCAUCUCUGCUUUGAGGACGCCUCCUUCCCCAUCCCUCCUCUCCUCCCAUCCUGGAGUCACCCCUCCUGCCUGCAAACUCCGAUCUCCCCAAAUGCAGAUGCAGGUAAUGACAGCCACCUGACCGGGCACAGGCAAGGAUUAAGCGAGGUGAUCUGGGUGAAAGGCCCCACAGGGUUCAUCUAAGAGAGCCUAGAAACAAUGACACUCCAGGAACAAUGAUCACUCGCUACUGCCAGAUCUUAGUUUCCAAUCCCACUAUUCAGUGAAAGGAAUCAGGGCUCCUUGGAGAAAUGGCUGAUUCUAGGACUGGAGCAGGAAAUAUAGAAGACAAGCCUAGAACUUCUUAUAGUACCAGAAGGUCUUGAGCCUGCUGGCCCUUUGGAGUAGAACUACACCAUCGUUUCUCCUGAGUCUCCAGCUUCCUCCUUUCCCACCCUGCAGUUUUGGGGACUUUCCAGCCUCUGUAACUGUGAGCCAAUUUCCUUAUAAUAAAUCUCUUUCUAGAUAUGUGCAUACUAUUAGUUCU